rnacentral:rRNA from 1 species
GUGGGGAAUUUUGGACAAUGGGCGCAAGCCUGAUCCAGCCAUGCCGCGUGAGUGAAGAAGGCCUUCGGGUUGUAAAGCUCUUUCGGAUAGAAAGAAAUCGCAUUGGCUAAUACCUGAUGUGGAUGACGGUACUAUCAUAAGAAGCACCGGCUAACUACGUGCCAGCAGCCGCGGUAAUACGUAGGGUGCGAGCGUUAAUCGGAAUUACUGGGCGUAAAGCGUGCGCAGGCGGUUGUACAAGACAGGCGUGAAAUCCCCGGGCUCAACCUGGGAACUGCGCUUGUGACUGUACGACUAGAGUACGGCAGAGGGGGGUAGAAUUCCACGUGUAGCAGUGAAAUGCGUAGAGAUGUGGAGGAAUACCGAUGGCGAAGGCAGCCCCCUGGGCCAGUACUGACGCUCAUGCACGAAAGCGUGGGGAGCAAACAGGAUUAGAAACCCUGGUAGUCC